GGGUUGUGAGGUUAAGCGACUAAGCGUACACGGUGGAUGCCCUGGCAGUCAGAGGCGAUGAAGGACGUGCUAAUCUGCGAUAAGCGUCGGUAAGGUGAUAUGAACCGUUAUAACCGGCGAUUUCCGAAUGGGGAAACCCAGUGUGAUUCGUCACACUAUCAUUAACUGAAUCCAUAGGUUAAUGAGGCGAACCGGGGGAACUGAAACAUCUAAGUACCCCGAGGAAAAGAAAUCAACCGAGAUUCCCCCAGUAGCGGCGAGCGAACGGGGAGGAGCCCAGAGCCUGAAUCAGUGUGUGUGUUAGUGGAAGCGUCUGGAAAGGCGCGCGAUACAGGGUGACAGCCCCGUACACAAAAAUGCACAUGCUGUGAGCUCGAUGAGUAGGGCGGGACACGUGGUAUCCUGUCUGAAUAUGGGGGGACCAUCCUCCAAGGCUAAAUACUCCUGACUGACCGAUAGUGAACCAGUACCGUGAGGGAAAGGCGAAAAGAACCCCGGCGAGGGGAGUGAAAAAGAACCU
rnacentral:rRNA from 1 species